CUACGGGGGGCAGCAGUGGGGGAUAUUGCACAAUGGGCGAAGGCCUGAUGCAGCAACGCCGCGUGAAGGAAGACGGUUUUCGGAUUGUAAACUUCUAUCAGCAGGGAAGAAAAUGACUGUACCUGACUAAGAAGCCCCGGCUAACUACGUGCCAGCAGCCGCGGUAAUACGUAGGGGGCAAGCGUUAUCCGGAAUUACUGGGUGUAAAGGGUACGUAGGCGGCUGAUCAAGUCAGAUGUGAAAGCCCGGAGCUCAACUCCGGGACUGCAUUUGAAACUGGUCGGCUAGAGUGCAGGAGAGGAAAGUGGAAUUCCUAGUGUAGCGGUGAAAUGCGUAGAUAUUAGGAAGAACACCAGUGGCGAAGGCGGCUUUCUGGACUGUAACUGACGCUGAGGUACGAAAGCGUGGGGAGCGAACAGGAUUAGAUACCCGCGUAGUC
rnacentral:rRNA from 1 species